GAUUAAACAAGUAAUUUACAUUGGUUUCUUAUAAUAAUAAUAGGAGAUUCUGCUGGUUUCACAGAUUUGGCCUGUGUAGUUUAUGCAGGGACUAAACAACCAGAAAUGGAGAUCUCACCUGUUUUUCACAUUCAUGACUUCUGUUACCUGUAGCAGUGUCUGAUGCAACUGCCUUCCACCUCUCUCCACAGGGGCUCUUUCUCUUUGCUGUACCCUGGACAUUUCAGUGUUGUGAGCUUGAGCUUUCUUUAGUUAGUUCAAAGAUGCUCUCACUAAAGUGUCCAUUGCCCUCUGGAAUUGCGUCCAGGAAACCUCUGCUCCCAUGGGGACCUCAGAUAUUCUACAAUGUAUGAAAUCUGGGCAUACUUUUAUAAGGCUUUGGGCUAAAUACUGGGUCUGGAAGCUAUGAGGUAAGAUCCUUCUUCUAGUGCUUAUGGGUGUCUUUAGCUCGUUUCAUAAAAAUAGGUGCUGAUUUCAAGUGCUCUAAGAUCUUCAGUUUGGAUUUUCAUUGGUCAGUUAUAUUAUUUGAUGUUCCAAAGAUGAGCUUCAAAGAUUAAUUUCUUUCCGUCUCCACACUGAGAUCCAUUUUUAUUGUUUUCUUCAGCUCAGUCUUCGGGUUAUUUGAUAAUGCAGCUGCUGGUAUUCUCUUCAUGAAACUGACUGUCUUAUGAAGCUAAGUGCUACGAGGCCCUGUGCUGGCUGGUUUUAUAAUAGCAGUUUUCCUGUGAAAAUAGCAGCACUCUUAUUCUCAGAUUCAUA
rnacentral:lncRNA from 1 species